GCCAAAUCCAAAGUCUAUAAUCAUGAAGUCUUGCAAAGAUCCAGCUUUCUCUUAUUCACAACAAGAAAACACUACAAUGGUGUACAGUGAAGAGCUCGCGAAUGAGAGUAAACGACAGUUAAUCUCAAAGCUAGGGAUCAUUUCUAGGUCCCGGAGACUAUACAGCAACGCCAAGCUGACAAGAUGUACUAGGUCAUGUGAUUUGCAAACUUACCAGUUCAAGAACACGGAUCGGACUUUGAUGAUGCAACACAAUUUAUUGUUCAUAACAUGAUCCUGCCUUAACUGGAGGACGUCGAGCAUAGAAAUUGGUAACUGGAGCGGCUGGAACACCACGCCUUGUCAAGAGGCAUCGGAAGUACUCCAGCCUCUGCAAUGCAGCUAAAGUAGUGUUUUUUGAGGAUGUGGUCUCCUUGUCGCUCCACAAACGUUCUAGAAAGUAACGCAAAGGCAAAAUCAGUAGCAAGUUCGAAAUUUCAUAUGGAGAACGAAAACCAAAUAUAUGACGGCAAAAUACUGAGUGGAAGAUCCAGCAUCAACCAGUGGUUGAGCCCUGUUUCAUCACCCAUCUUAGGACAGCCCGGUGCACUGAAGCUCCCGCUAUGCGCGGGGUCCGGGGAAGGUCCGGACCACUAGGGUCUAUUGUACGAAGCCUCACCUUACAUUUCUGCAAGGGACUGUUUCCAUGGCUUGAACCUGUGACCUCCUGGUCACAUGGCAGCCUCACCUGGUCAUCACCCAUCUUGUAAAACAAUAAUGCAAUGCCAAAACGAAAAAUAAAUAUCUUGGUUUUGGAAAAAGUUGUCAUGUUUCGACCAGUUUGGCUGAACGCCCCUUUGAGAAAUGCUAUCAUAAGUAAGGCUCAAGGCUUAAGAUAUAUUUGUGAUACGCAACAUAGUUGAACUACAGUACGUGUUGUGCAAUCCAAUAUAUCCAAGAGAAUACCUGCUGCAGCCGCAGCACGUGGCCAUAUGGUCUGUUGAACAUCGGAUGCAUCUGCAGUUUCUCCCCACAUGCAUACUUCACCUCCAAGUACAAGAUUUUGCUCCGAAAUACUUUAACCCCGAGAUUUACCUAGGAUAACUUACCCCACAUGCAUAUGGGAUAACUUAUCCCAUCACUAUAGUCUAAAUGGUGGGAUAAGUUAUCUCGGUAUUGACUAAUACCUCCAACCAAAUAUGGGAUAAAAUAAUCCUUCAUUUUAUCUCGGAACUACUUAUCCGUUAUACCUCACACCAAACGAACCCUAAAGAUCACACUAUCACUGUCGAUUCUUGAGUCAAAAGUGCAGCUCGGUGCAUUAAGCAUUCCGCUAUACGAGGUUAGGGUCAGACUAGAAAGGUCUAUUAUAUAGAGGCAUACCUUACAUUCUGCGAGAGGCUAUUUCGACAGAUUCUUGUAGCUUAAUAUAAAAAAUAAGAAAGGAAUGAAAUAAGAAAUAUGAAAUUACAAGUUUGAAUGUAAUACCUGAGGCAAAAUAUUGCCAAAUCCAAAGUCUAUAAUCAUGAAGUCUUGCAAAGAUCCAGCUUUCUCUUAUUCACAACAAGAAAACACUACAAUGGUGUACAGUGAAGAGCUCGCGAAUGAGAGUAAACGACAGUUAAUCUCAAAGCUAGGGAUCAUUUCUAGGUCCCGGAGACUAUACAGCAACGCCAAGCUGACAAGAUGUACUAGGUCAUGUGAUUUGCAAACUUACCAGUUCAAGAACACGGAUCGGACUUUGAUGAUGCAACACAAUUUAUUGUUCAUAACAUGAUCCUGCCUUAACUGGAGGACGUCGAGCAUAGAAAUUGGUAACUGGAGCGGCUGGAACACCACGCCUUG
rnacentral:lncRNA from 1 species